UUGAACGCUGGCGGCAUGCUUUACACAUGCCCGUCGAACGGCAGCGCGGGCUUCGGCCUGGCGGCGAGUGGCGAACGGGUGAGUAAUGCAUCGGAACGUGCCCAGUAGUGGGGGAUAGCCCGGCGAAAGCCGGAUUAAUACCGCAUACGACCUGAGGGUGAAAGCGGGGGACCGAAAGGCCUCGCGCUAUUGGAGCGGCCGAUGUCGGAUUAGCUAGUUGGUGGGGUAAAGGCUUACCAAGGCGACGAUCCGUAGCUGGUCUGAGAGGACGACCAGCCACACUGGGACUGAGACACGGCCCAGACUCCUACGGGAGGCAGCAGUGGGGAAUUUUGGACAAUGGGGGCAACCCUGAUCCAGCCAUGCCGCGUGCGGGAAGAAGGCCUUCGGGUUGUAAACCGCUUUUGUUCGGGAAGAAAUCCUCUGGGCUAAUACCCCGGGGGGAUGACGGUACCGGAAGAAUAAGCACCGGCUAACUACGUG
rnacentral:rRNA from 1 species